UAGGGAAUCUUCCGCAAUGGGCGAAAGCCUGACGGAGCAACGCCGCGUGAGUGAUGAAGGUCUUCGGAUCGUAAAACUCUGUUAUUAGGGAAGAACAAAUGUGUAAGUAACUAUGCACGUCUUGACGGUACCUAAUCAGAAAGCCACGGCUAACUACGUGCCAGCAGCCGCGGUAAUACGUAGGUGGCAAGCGUUAUCCGGAAUUAUUGGGCGUAAAGCGCGCGUAGGCGGUUUUUUAAGUCUGAUGUAGAAGCCCACGGCUCAACCGUGGAGGGUCAUUGGAAACUGGAAAACUUGAGUGCAGAAGAAGAAAGUGGAUUUCCAUGUGUAGCGGUGAAAUGCGCAGAGAUAUGGAGGAACAACAGUAGCGAAGGCGACUUUCUGGUCUGUAACUGACGCUGAUGUGCGAAAGCGUGGGGAUCAAACAGG
rnacentral:rRNA from 1 species